GUUGGGUUAAGUCCCGCAACGAGCGCAACCCUCAUCCUUAGUUACCAUCAGGUAAUGCUGGGGACUUUAAGGAAACUGCCAGUGAUAAACUGGAGGAAGGUGGGGAUGAUGUCAAGUCAUCAUGGCCCUUAUGGAGUGGGCUACACACGUGCUACAAUGGUGUCUACAAUGGGCUGCAAAGUCGCGAGGCUAAGCUAAUCCCUUAAAAGCCAUCUCAGUUCGGAUUGUACUCUGCAACUCGAGUGCAUGAAGUUGGAAUCGCUAGUAAUCGUGGAUCAGCACGCCACGGUGAAUACGUUCUCGGGUCUUGUACACACUGCCCGUCA
rnacentral:rRNA from 1 species